rnacentral:tRNA from 1 species
GUCUUUCUAGUAUUUAAAGUUAGUACAAGUGACUUCCAAUCAUUUAGUCUUGGUUAAAAUCCAAGGAAAGAUA